rnacentral:rRNA from 1 species
GGCGGACGGGUGAGUAAUGCCUAGGAAAUUGCCUUGAUGUGGGGGAUAACCAUUGGAAACGAUGGCUAAUACCGCAUAAUGCCUACGGGCCAAAGAGGGGGACCUUCGGGCCUCUCGCGUCAAGAUAUGCCUAGGUGGGAUUAGCUAGUUGGUGAGGUAAUGGCUCACCAAGGCGACGAUCCCUAGCUGGUCUGAGAGGAUGAUCAGCCACACUGGAACUGAGACACGGUCCAGACUCCUACGGGAGGCAGCAGUGGGGAAUAUUGCACAAUGGGCGAAAGCCUGAUGCAGCCAUGCCGCGUGUAUGAAGAAGGCCUUCGGGUUGUAAAGUACUUUCAGUUGUGAGGAAGGGGGUAGCGUUAAUAGCGCUAUCUCUUGACGUUAGCAACAGAAGAAGCACCGGCUAACUCCGUGCCAGCAGCCGCGGUAAUACGGAGGGUGCGAGCGUUAAUCGGAAUUACUGGGCGUAAAGCGCAU